rnacentral:rRNA from 1 species
GCUUGUCUCAAAGAUUAAGCCAUGCAUGUCUUAGUGUAAAUAACUCUUAUGAAACUGCGAAUGGCUCAUUAAAUCAGUUAUCGUUUAUUUGAUGGUCCCUUACUACAUGGAUAACCGUAGUAAUUCUAGAGCUAAUACAUGCACAAAGGCCCGACUCACGGAGGGCUGUAUUUAUUAGAUUCAAACCAACACUUUUUGGUGAUUCAUAAUAACUUGUCGAACCUCAUGCCUUUAUGGUGGAGGUGAUUCAUUCAAAUUUCUGCCCUAUCAACUUUCGAUGGUAAGGUAUUGGCCUACCAUGGUUACCACGGGUAACGGGGAAUUAGGGUUCGGUUCCGGAGAGGGGGCCUGAGAAAUGGCCACCACAUCCAAGGAAGGCAGCAGG